GGAUGGUGAUUUGAAGCUGAUGAAAUAGCAAAAGACCUGAUCGAUUGCCGCUCUCUUCAUUUCUAUGAGCUUCACUCUCCUCCUUGUCUUAUUCCCGUGGAGAUCAUCCAUUGCCUUUAUCAUCAGCUAUGAGCUGUAGAUGAACGAUGCUUCGCCGGAGCAGCUUGAGGUAGCCAUGUUUAAAGCUCGAGAGAUCCUGAUGAAUAAAAGCGCUUUGGUCUUCAUAGUCCUGGUCAGCCUUCUGGUCUUAGAAGUAACUCUGUCAUAUGGGAGGAAAAGUACUCAUUAAACGCUUCAAGCCGCGAGCAACUCCUCUCUAUUUCUCAUAGAAAAGUCAACUUUUCUAGAUUGGUUGGAGGACAUCGUAGCCUGGGUUGCUUAAUGUACAAUGCUUACUCAAUUUGCCUGGAAAUUUCCAAGGAAAGAAAAGUCAAUGGGUCACAAGUAA